CAUAUUUAAAAUUAUGUUUAUUAUUAUGUAUAGUGCACUGUAUAGUUUGUAAAAAUGUUUAUUGUGAAGUAUUGGAAAAAUUGUGAAACUUUGGAACUGUUUUUACAUGAGAUGUAUAUAUUCAGUCUUCAAUCAUUGUCAUGGCAAUGGAGGACAAUAGAAUAUUGCCAUGAAGAAACUGACUUUUUUAUAUAAAGAAAUAUCCAACAAAAGUGUUCAAUGAUAUCUAAAGAGAUGAAAGACUGAGAAAUACUAAAAGCUCAAAUUGAAGUUUUCUAUGAGAUUGGUGGAUUAAUUGCAUGAACAGUCGGACAACUGGCACACUCAUGCUAUAAGUAUAGCUUUUAAAAUAAAAUAAAGGACUUGUAUAAUAACAUUUAUGUUCUACAAAGAAGAAAUGCUUCUACAUAAUGUGCUAAAGAGAAGAUAUGUUCCUACAUAAUGCUCUAUAGUGAAGACAAAUGUUAUAUAGCACAGACAGAUGUUCCUAAGUUGCACGAAGUAUUCAGAAGACAGACAGAUUCCUUUUACAAUGAAGUAUCCAGAACACAUAGCUGAUCAGAUUUUCAGCUCUUCAUUUCAUAUUCUGAUGUUUUCUUGAGAAAAAACUAAGGUAUUAAUAAAUAGUCUGUAAAUAGUGUGUUAUUUUCACUGAAUAUGAAUUUUGAAUUUCAAGUGUCAAACCUGUUAGUCUGGAUUUAUUUUAUGAUGUUCUUGUUUUGGUUAUAUAUGCUUGAAAAUAUAUUUUUGUAUUGUUGAAUUUUAUAACUGGUUCAACGGGAAGCAAAGUUACACUAUAUAUUACUUCUGAUAAAUGCUUUUUGACUUUUCAUUGUCCUGUUUAUGAAAUCUAUAUAUUUUAUCUGAGUUAAUUGUAAGACAUAACAAAGCGGUUGUUUUUUUUGUUUUUUUGCAAGAUUCACAUGAUGUUUUUUUUUUGCAAGAUUCACAUGAAUUUUAUUUUACAAACUUAAAAAAAAAUUAUUGAAUGCAAACAAAGAGAAAUAAUUUAUCAAAUCAUGAAAAAAUAUUCCUAGUAACACAAAAAGUAACAACUUUGAGUGUAAGCUGUAAGCUUUCAUCUAAUUGCAAGUUAUAGAUCAUGGCCAAAUUUGAAGGAAAUUCUUUGAUCAAUGAGAAGAAUAACACUGAUGGAGAGAAAUAACAUAGACAACAGAAAUGUAUAAAACAAAUACCAUCUCGAUUAUGAAAAUAUGAGAUGUGGUAUGAAUUUGCCAAUUAAGACAACUUUACUUCAGUGACCACAUCAAAUCAAUUAGUUUCUUAUAGAAUUCAGAAAAAAACACUACAAAAAGCUAUAGAAUUAAAAAAAAACAACACUACAAAAAGCUAUAGAAUUAAAAAAACAACACUACAAAAAGCUAAUUUGAACAGUUACACUUACAGAUUAUUUCAAUUAAUUGUUCAGACAUGCCAUUCAUAAAAGGUGAAAUAUUUUAUUGCAGAUUAAUUGUUCAUAUUCUUCCUGAAAAGUGAAAUAUGUGAAAUUUAAGCUGGUGAAGAUCAUGAAUUGAGGAUUCUUUGCAAACUUGAUGACUUCAGAUUUCCUGUUCCACAACUUGUUCUAAAGAAAAUCCUAGGACUUUGGAGCAUAAGAUUAUAUAAUCUAGGUAUAAACACAUUACUUUAAACACAUACUAUUUAUUUAGAAAUAAUUGUUAUUUAUCAAUGUUGAAAAGGGGUAGAAAAUAAAUUAAUUAUUUCGUACAAAAACAAGGAUUGCCAAACAACACCUUUUACCUAGAAACUUUUUUCUGAGGUUCAGCAUUUUCAUAUUAUUCAAUCGAGCAAAAUGAAAUUUCCUUAAAAUGCCAACAAAUAAUCUUUUCAUGCUCGGAUAUUAAGGGUUGAUAAUGAUUCUGUCUUUGAUAAUAAUCACUUUAAUCAGAUGCCAUUUUGUUCUUCAGAUUGAUGCAGCAUUGAAUAUCUAAAGAGAAUGGACAAUAUUCUGAUUAAUUAAUGGUAAGUGUUUACAUGAAGAAAUCCAGUGGUUUGAUUGUGGUCAAUUAUGCAUAAUACCUGAAUAAAUACAUAAAUAAAACAAUUUUACAGCACUACAAUAGUAUUCAGCAUAUGCUUUCCAAUAUUUAAUUGAAGUCUAUUCCAAAAUUCCUAGCAAUAUCUUGUAAAUCUGUCACAAGUCUGGUAAGUUUUAACAAAUUGAUAGAAAUAUUUUUCUGGGUAAUUGUGACAUGUAUUGGGACCAAAUUAUGAGCUCAAAGUGAUCAGUUUUAUAAAGGUAUUCUCACUAUUACAAAGAACUGUAAAAUUCUCAAAAGGUAUAAAGUAUAUAUAAAUACUGUUCAUGCAAAUCAUCCCCAAAACUAUGAAAUAUUUUCCAUGUUUCAGAUGUACAAAAAAUUGUGCUACAAGUUCAAACCAGCAAAAUAAACUGAUGGGAGUUAAACAUAACACUGAAUCUUACUUCAUACAAGGUUGGUAUUCUUUAACUUCCUUAGGAAAUUAAUUAUCCGUCCAUCUGAUGUCACAAUGUUCUGAUAAAAAUAAGAUGAUGUGGUAUGGAUGCUGAUGAGACGACUCUCUACCAGAGACCAAAUAAUGUAGAAGUUAGCUACUAUAUCUUUCAUAGUGUCAAUAAGACAGAGCUGCUUAUAAAUUAGCUGUUUGACUUGUUCAACUUGUGAAUAUGAUGUACUGGAAAAUAACCUGUUGAUUAAAGUAAAUGUACUUUUGUUGUUGUUCUUCAUCAUAACAGAUAGUUGCUGCAGUGUUUUCAGCUAUGAACUAUGAACCCUAUGGUCAACUUGAACAGUAAAUGUUCAAUAAUGGUAACAUUACUUCAACUGCAUUAAAUAUUUUCUCGUACACCUCACGUUGUAUUCAUAUCUGCAUGGCUUUAUUGAGACUUUGAUAUACUAAGCCUGCUUUUAGGGGACAACAUCAAGGGAAAUAUUUCUAUGGUGUUGUAAUUAAGUCUUCAGAACAGUACUGUACUGAUCAUGAUUGCUGUAAAACUUUUUUUCAAGGUUCAAGUUGUGUAUCCAUUCUCCUUUUAAAUUUGUAUUAUCCAAUUGAAUUAACUAAUUAAAUUGUUGUUUGUAGUGAGGAGGAACAAUUGAACUGAUGAACUUACAAAUAUAUGAAAGAAAGAAAAACAGACCACAUAGCAUAAGGAAAGAGACAGAUUAAAUCAUAGAGUAAAUGGAAAAAGAAACUAGCAACACUCUGAAAUUAACAAGAGAAAUAAUCACCAAUACAGACAGAGGUUAGGUCUCUGACAGUCUCAACGGAUGAUCAUAUAAACAUCUGAAGGUUAUACAAUAUGAGAAUAACAGAACACAUGGAAUAAGGAAGAGAAAAAUUAACUUGUAGACUAAAGGGUAGAUGAUAUUAGAAAAAUACUGAAAUUAACAAGAGAAACAAUCAACAUAGCAGCUACCUUAUCACUGACUCAACUGAUGAACAUAGAACAAACUUUAACAUAUUAUUAACAGCAUAGAAAAACAAUCAACACGUCCAAGACUUAUAUUCUUGUCAAUUAAAUAUGAAUGAAUUUUCAUAAUAGUAUAUGGUCAGCGGGAGAGAGAGAAAGAUAUAGAAUGGUCAGAGAGGGAGAGGAAGAACACUUAUAAUGAUGAGUUGGGAGAGAGAUGAAACAAAUAUUGCAACUUGUAAAUUUGUCUUCAACCAAAACACAUGGCUUGUGUUGAUGUGUCUAACCUUAGACAUCUGAUAUUUUUAUUAUCUAGAGCUCUGUUAAAAAACAAUGUGAAAAAUAACAUGAAAACAAAAUUCAAACAGAGUUCUAGAUCAUAAACAGUAAGGGUGGUGUAAAAAGUGGGCAUAUUUAAAAUUUUUUUUUUUUUUCACCAAUAUAUUUAUGAAAUUUAAAACUUAUAAUUGAGAAUGUUUAAUUAUACGUACAAUUCUUUUGAUUUUAGAUAUUUGGAGAUGAAACCUAUUCUUCUCUAUUUAUUGUACUCUAAUAGUGUCAUAAAUUUGCAAUAUUCUUAUCCAUGCUUACACCUUGAACCUUAGACAUCCAAUAUUUUUAUUACCUAGAACUCUUUAAAAAAAAUAAAAAUGACAAAAAAUAAUAUGAAAACAAAUUGUAAACAGAGUUCUAGAUAAUAAACAUUAAGGAUGGUGUAAAUAGUGAGUAUGCUUCAAAAUUCACACCCAACCCCACCCCAAAUAUAUUUAUGAAAUUAAAUACAACAUAUAUUAUUGUGAAUGAUUUGUGUUCGAUAAGUUUUUUCCUUUCAUUAGUUAUAUAUAUUAAAUUGAUUGGCAACCUGUACAUUUUUCUUAUGUAUUGAAAGUGGCUUUAAAGUUUACAUGUUUAAUCGGAAGUAGAAUUCUUUUAAUAUUAGAUAUUAGAGACAAA
rnacentral:lncRNA from 1 species